UGGGGAAUAUUGGACAAUGGGCGCAAGCCUGAUCCAGCCAUGCCGCGUGAGUGAUGAAGGCCUUAGGGUUGUAAAGCUCUUUCGCCGACGAAGAUAAUGACGGUAGUCGGAGAAGAAGCCCCGGCUAACUUCGUGCCAGCAGCCGCGGUAAUACGAAGGGGGCUAGCGUUGUUCGGAAUCACUGGGCGUAAAGCGCACGUAGGCGGAUUGUUAAGUCAGGGGUGAAAGCCUGGAGCUCAACUCCAGAACUGCCCUUGAUACUGGCAAUCUCGAGUCCGGAAGAGGUAAGUGGAACUGCGAGUGUAGAGGUGAAAUUCGUAGAUAUUCGCAAGAACACCAGUGGCGAAGGCGGCUUACUGGUCCGGUACUGACGCUGAGGUGCGAAAGCGUGGGGAGCAAAACAGGAUUAGAUACCCUGGUAGUCCACGCCGUAAAACGAUGGAGGCUAGCCGUUGGCGAGCAUGCUCGUCAGUGGCGCAGCUAACGCAUUAAGCCUCCCGCCUGGGGAGUACGGUCGCAAGAUUAAAAACUCAAAUGAAUUGAC
rnacentral:rRNA from 1 species